GAUGAACGCUGGCGGCGUGCCUAAUACAUGCAAGUCGAGCGAAUGGAUUAAGAGCUUGCUCUUAUGAAGUUAGCGGCGGACGGGUGAGUAACACGUGGGUAACCUGCCCAUAAGAAUGGGAUAACUCCGGGAAACCGGGGCUAAUACCGGAUAACAUUUUGAACCGCAUGGUUCGAAAUUGAAAGGCCGCUUCGGCUGUCACUUAUGGAUGGACCCGUGUCGCAUUAGCUAGUUGGUGAGGUAACGGCUCACCAAGGCAACGAAGCGUAGCCGACCUGAGAGGGUGAUCGGCCACACUGGGACUGAGACACGGCCCAGACUCCUACGGGAGGCAGCAGUAGGGAAUCUUCCGCAAUGGACGAAAGUCUGACGGAGCAACGCCGCGUGAGUGAUGAAGGCUUUCGGGUCGUAAAACUCUGUUGUUAGGGAAGAACAAGUGCUAGUUGAAUAAGCUGGCACCUUGACGGUACCUAACCAGAAAGCCACGGCUAACUACGUGCCAGCCGCCGCGGUAA
rnacentral:rRNA from 1 species